AACGAACGCUGGCGGCGCGCUUAACACAUGCAAGUCGAACGAGAAGGCGUAGCAAUACGCUUGUACAGUGGCGAACGGGUGAGUAAUACGUGGGCGACCUACCCUCGAGUGGGGAAUAACCCGCCGAAAGGCGGGCUAAUGCCGCGUACGCUUCCAUCUUUAUGGAGGUGGAAGGAAAGCCGUGCCGUGGGCACGGCGCUCAAGGAUGGGCUCACGUCCUAUCAGCUUGUUGGAGGGUAACGGCCUACCAAGGCUCCGACGGGUAGCUGGUCUGAGAGGACGAUCAGCCACACUGGCACUGCGACACGGGCCAGACUCCUACGGGAGGCAGCAGUGAGGAAUAUUGCGCAAUGGGCGAAAGCCUGACGCAGCGACGCCGCGUGGGGGAUGAAGGUCUUCGGAUUGUAAACCCCUUUCGGGAGGGAAGAUGGGACGGGCAACCGUUCGGACGGUACCUCCAGAAGCAGCCACGGCUAACUUCGUGCCAGCA
rnacentral:rRNA from 1 species